GCUGUGAUGGCCGAGAGGUUAAGGCGUGGGACUUGAAAUCCAAUGGGAUCUUCCCGCGCAGGUUCGAACCCUGCUCGCAGCG
rnacentral:tRNA from 1 species